rnacentral:tRNA from 1 species
UGGGUCGUUAGCUCAGUUGGUAGAGCAGUUGACUUUUAAUCAAUUGGUCGCAGGUUCGAAUCCCGCACGACCCACC